rnacentral:rRNA from 1 species
AAAUUGAAGAGUUUGAUCAUGGCUCAGAUUGAACGCUGGCGGCAGGCCUAACACAUGCAAGUCGAGCGGUAGCACAGAGAGCUUGCUCUCGGGUGACGAGCGGCGGACGGGUGAGUAAUGUCUGGGAAACUGCCUGAUGGAGGGGGAUAACUACUGGAAACGGUAGCUAAUACCGCAUAACGUCGCAAGACCAAAGUGGGGGACCUUCGGGCCUCAUGCCAUCAGAUGUGCCCAGAUGGGAUUAGCUAGUAGGUGGGGUAACGGCUCACCUAGGCGACGAUCCCUAGCUGGUCUGAGAGGAUGACCAGCCACACUGGAACUGAGACACGGUCCAGACUCCUACGGGAGGCAGCAGUGGGGAAUAUUGCACAAUGGGCGCAAGCCUGAUGCAGCCAUGCCGCGUGUGUGAAGAAGGCCUUCGGGUUGUAAAGCACUUUCAGCGGGGAGGAAGGCGUUAAGGUUAAUAACCUUGGCGAUUGACGUUACCCGCAGAAGAAGCACCGGCUAACUCCGUGCCAGCAGCCGCGGUAAUACGGAGGGUGCAAGCGUUAAUCGGAAUUACUGGGCGUAAAGCGCACGCAGGCGGUCUGUCAAGUCGGAUGUGAAAUCCCCGGGCUCAACCUGGGAACUGCAUUCGAAACUGGCAGGCUAGAGUCUUGUAGAGGGGGGUAGAAUUCCAGGUGUAGCGGUGAAAUGCGUAGAGAUCUGGAGGAAUACCGGUGGCGAAGGCGGCCCCCUGGACAAAGACUGACGCUCAGGUGCGAAAGCGUGGGGAGCAAACAGGAUUAGAUACCCUGGUAGUCCACGCCGUAAACGAUGUCGAUUUGGAGGUUGUGCCCUUGAGGCGUGGCUUCCGGAGCUAACGCGUUAA